rnacentral:lncRNA from 1 species
ACCAGCCUUGCCAACAUGCUGAAACCCUGUCUCUACUAAAAGUACACGAAUUAGCCAGGCGUGGUUGCGCGUGCUUGUAGUCCCAGCUCCUCGGGAGGCUGAGGCAGGAGAAUCACUUGAACCUGGGAGGCAGAGGUUUCAAUGAGCCGAGAUGAUGCCCCUGCACUCCAGCCUGGGUGACAGAGCGAUAUUCUGUCUCAAAAAAAAAAAAAAAAAAAAAAGAGGGUGUAAUUCACUGAAUCUGAUUAGAAAAGCUACACAUCUUUAUCACAUAAGCUGUCUGAUUGUGUUUAUUUGAAUCUUCUCUUUUUUCUUUAUUCAUCUAACUUGCACUCUAUAUAUCUUAUUAUUUAUUUCAAUAAACCAGCUGCUGUAUUUGUUAAUCUUUUGUAUAAUUUUUUGAAGAUAGGGAGACGAUUUUGGAUUACUUCAGUGGGCUCAACGUAAUCACAAGGGUCUUUAAAAGGGUUAGAGAAAGAUGUGACUAUGAAAAACCAGAGAGAUAGCAACAGGACAGGAGUUGGCCUGAUAGUGUUGGCUUUGAACACAGAGGAAGGGGCUACGAACCAAGGCAAGCAGGUGGCCACUCCUUUUCAUAUUUCUGAAGCAUUUGUAAAUCUUGAUGCUUUUCCCCUCACAUACUCUUUUAUGCACAAUGCAGAUGUAGCCUUACCUGCAAAUGCAGGCCUGUGUAAAAGUGACAUCUUGUGUUGCUUUGAUGCAUUGCAUUUCUUGUUCUCCCUGUCACGAUUCCUCUGUUUUGGAAAUUCUUUUACUUUUAUUUUGCUAAAGAGCAAAGAGAGACUAAACUAAAAUUAUUGCAACAUAAAGCGUAUAACUCAUGGUAUUAAAAAAUUACAUUGUUCUCUAUGUUAUUUAUAAAUUAUACAAUAGUGACAGGUAAAUCAUUCCAAUGACAGAAUUUAUAUCUGCCCUUGUACUGGAUUGUAAACCUGAGAGAGAAGAGUUUGAUUUUUUUAAAUUAAAUUUAGUAGUUAUUAUGAAAAUGCUUUAGAACAAAAGAAAUCCACUGAUUUGAAAUGUCUAGAAACUAGCCUGUUUUCUAUUUUCAUGAAAUGUUACUUUUCAU